CACGUAGGGUGCGAGCGUUGUCCGGAAUUAUUGGGCGUAAAGAGCUCGUAGGCGGUGUGUCGCGUCGGCCGUGAAAACCUGCAGCUUAACUGUGGGCUUGCGGUCGAUACGGGCAUCACUGGAGUUCGGCAGGGGAGACUGGAAUUCCUGGUGCAGCGGUGAAAUGCGCAGAUAUCAGGAGGAACACCGGUGGCGAAGGCGGGUCUCUGGGCCGAUACUGACGCUGAGGAGCGAAAGCGUGGGGAGCGAACAGG
rnacentral:rRNA from 1 species